rnacentral:rRNA from 1 species
AGAGUUUGAUCCUGGCUCAGGACGAACGCUGGCGGCGUGCCUAAUACAUGCAAGUAGAACGCUGAAGAGAGGAGCUUGCUCUUCUUGGAUGAGUUGCGAACGGGUGAGUAACGCGUAGGUAACCUGCCUUGUAGCGGGGGAUAACUAUUGGAAACGAUAGCUAAUACCGCAUAACAAUGGAUGACACAUGUCAUUUAUUUGAAAGGGGCAAUUGCUCCACUACAAGAUGGACCUGCGUUGUAUUAGCUAGUAGGUGAGGUAAUGGCUCACCUAGGCGACGAUACAUAGCCGACCUGAGAGGGUGAUCGGCCACACUGGGACUGAGACACGGCCCAGACUCCUACGGGAGGCAGCAGUAGGGAAUCUUCGGCAAUGGGGGCAACCCUGACCGAGCAACGCCGCGUGAGUGAAGAAGGUUUUCGGAUCGUAAAGCUCUGUUGUAAGUCAAGAACGGGUGUGAGAGUGGAAAGUUCACACUGUGACGGUAGCUUACCAGAAAGGGACGGCUAACUACGUGCCAGCAGCCGCGGUAAUACGUAGGUCCCGAGCGUUGUCCGGAUUUAUUGGGCGUAAAGCGAGCGCAGGCGGUUUGAUAAGUCUGAAGUUAAAGGCUGUGGCUCAACCAUAGUUCGCUUUGGAAACUGUCAAACUUGAGUGCAGAAGGGGAGAGUGGAAUUCCAUGUGUAGCGGUGAAAUGCGUAGAUAUAUGGAGGAACACCGGUGGCGAAAGCGGCUCUCUGGUCUGUAACUGACGCUGAGGCUCGAAAGCGUGGGGAGCGAACAGGAUUAGAUACCCUGGUAGUCCACGCCGUAAACGAUGAGUGCUAGGUGUUGGAUCCUUUCCGGGAUUCAGUGCCGCAGCUAACGCAUUAAGCACUCCGCCUGGGGAGUACGACCGCAAGGUUGAAACUCAAAGGAAUUGACGGGGGCCCGCACAAGCGGUGGAGCAUGUGGUUUAAUUCGAAGCAACGCGAAGAACCUUACCAGGUCUUGACAUCCCGAUGCUAUUUCUAGAGAUAGAAAGUUACUUCGGUACAUCGGUGACAGGUGGUGCAUGGUUGUCGUCAGCUCGUGUCGUGAGAUGUUGGGUUAAGUCCCGCAACGAGCGCAACCCUUAUCUUUAGUAGCCAGCAGUAAGAUGGGCACUCUAAAGAGACUGCCGUGGAUAACACGGAGGAAGGUGGGGAUGACGUCAAAUCAUCAUGCCCCUUAUGUCUUGGGCAACACACGUGCUACAAUGGACGGAACAAAGUGAAGCGAGACUGCGAAGUGGAGCAAAGCACAAAAACCCGUUCUCAGUUCGGAUUGUAGUCUGCAACUCGACUACAUGAAGCUGGAAUCGCUAGUAAUCGCGAAUCAGAAUGUCGCGGUGAAUACGUUCCCGGGCCUUGCACACACCGCCCGUCA